rnacentral:lncRNA from 1 species
UCGUGUGCUUAUAUGAUUACCUUGAAUGUGAUUUAGAACGACUUUUCUAAAUCUCAUUCAUACUCUGGCCAGAGGUUCUAAAUCAUAUCAUAGAGUAUUCUCCCCUAAACCGUUUGAAGGUUAGAGAUCCCUUGUUGCGUAUUCACUUGCCUCCAUAGCUAAGUGGCUUAACCCCAAUGAUGCCGUGGACACCCGCGGAUGGGGCGACUUUGACAUAAUCAAAGAUCAAGGACUUAACCACAAGACAAACGUGAUGCCUCAGG